CACGUAGGGGCGAGCGUUGUCCGGAAUUAUUGGGCGUAAAGGGUACGCAGGUGGUUGAUUAAGUCUGAUGUGAAAGCCCACGGCUUAACCGUGGAGGGUCAUUGGAAACUGGUCGACUUGAGUGCAGAAGAGGGAAGUGGAAUUCCAUGUGUAGCGGUGAAAUGCGUAGAGAUAUGGAGGAACACCAGUGGCGAAGGCGGCUUCCUGGUCUGUAACUGACACUGAGGCGCGAAAGCGUGGGGAGCAAACAGGAUUAGAUACCCCCGUAGUCCCU
rnacentral:rRNA from 1 species